rnacentral:rRNA from 1 species
GACAGAGGGUGCAAACGUUUGUUCGGAUUUUACUGGGCGUAAAGCGCGUGUAGGCGGCUUUGCAAGUCGGAUGUGAAAGCCCACGGCUCAACCGUGGAAGUGCAUCCGAAACUGCAUGGCUGGAGUCCCGGAGAGGAAGGUGGAAUGCUUUGGUGUAGAGGUGAAAUUCGUAGAUAUCAAGCAGAACACCUGCGGCGAAGGCGGCCUCUGGACGGUGACUGACGCUGAGACGGCGAAAAGCGUGGGGGAGCAAACAGGG